rnacentral:tRNA from 1 species
AGAGACUUAAGUUAGUUAAACUAAAAGCCUUCAAAGCUUUAUAUGGUGGUGAAAGCCCUCCAGGCUCUA